rnacentral:rRNA from 1 species
CAAUCAAACUCCGAAUACCAAUAAGUACAGUCCAGCAGACAGACUGUGGGAGCUAAGUUCCAUAGUCGAAAGGGAAACAGCCCUAACCGUCCGCUAAGGUCCCCAAGUUAUAGCUAAGUGGGAAAGGAUGUGGGAAGACCAAGACAGCCAGGAGGUUGGCUUAGAAGCAGCCAUCCUUUAAAGAAAGCGUAAUAGCUCACUGGUCUAGAUUUAAGUCGUCUUGCGCCGAAAAUGUAACGGGGCUAAAGCUAUACACCGAAGCGACGGGUGCCACGCAAGUGGCGCGGUAGCGGAGCGUUCCAUAAGCCUGUGAAGGCAGACUCGCGAGAGCUGCUGGAGGUAUUGGAAGUGAGAAUGCUGACAUAAGUAACGUUAAACAGAGUGAAAGACUCUGUCGCCGAAAAUCCAAGGGUUCCUGUCCAAUGUUAAUCAGGGCAGGGUGAGUCGGCCCCUAAGGCGAGGGCGAAAGCCGUAGUCGAUGGGAACAAGGUUAAUAUUCCUUGACCUGUGUGAGGUGACGAAGGUCGUAAGUUGUUCUA